AUGGGGACUAUCCCUCUGGCUCUAACCUUAACCCUGGUCUUGUUGGCUGUCCUGGGGUUCACUACACCUAGAGUCUGGAGCCUGAACCCAGACGAUCCUAACGUCUGCAGUCACUGGGAGAGUUAUGCUGUGACGGUCCAGGAGUCCUACGCCCACCCCUUUGACCAGGUCUACUACACCAGGUGUACUGACAUCCUCAACUGGUUCAAAUGUACCAGGCACAGGAUCAGCUAUAAGACGGCUUACCGGCGAGGAGUCCGGACCAUGUACCGGCGCCGCUCACAGUGUUGCCCGGGUUACUUUGAGAGGGGAGACAUGUGUGUCCCUCUCUGCUCUGAGGAGUGUACCCAUGGAAGGUGUGUGUCUCCUGAUACGUGUCAGUGUGAGCCAGGCUGGGGAGGACUGGACUGCUCCAGUGGUUGUCAGAGUGACUUCUGGGGCCCCCACUGCAGUAACCGGUGCCAGUGUCAAAACGAGGGCAAGUGUAACCCCAUCACGGGGGCGUGUGUGUGUACAGACGGGUACCAGGGUUGGCGCUGCGAAGAGCCCUGUGAACCUGGGUACUAUGGCAAGGCCUGCCAUCUCAUCUGCCAGUGUCUCAACGGAGCCACCUGCCAUCAUCAGACUGGAGAGUGCAUCUGUUCUCUGGGAUACUCUGGAGCCUUCUGUGGUGAGCGGUGUCCCAGUGGUAGUCAUGGACAACAGUGUGAUCAGAGCUGUUCCUGUCAGAACGGAGGAUCCUGUCAUCACGUCAGUGGAGAGUGUUCCUGUCCCGCUGGAUGGACGGGCUCAGUGUGUGCCCAGCCGUGCCAAGUGGGCAAGUAUGGCAUCAACUGCAGCAAGGACUGCUCCUGCCUUAACGGUGGACUGUGUGACCAUGUCGCUGGUCAGUGCCAGUGUACCCCAGGUUACAGUGGACGGAGAUGCCAGGAGGAGUGUCCGGUGGGGUGGUACGGUCCUCAGUGCAGCCUGCGUUGUGACUGUCAGAACGGUGCUAAGUGUUACCAUAUCAACGGGGCGUGUCUCUGUGACACAGGCUUUAAAGGACCUCACUGUCAGGAGAGGUUCUGUCCCCCAGGCCUGUACGGACUCAUCUGUGACAAGUACUGUCCCUGUAAUGCCUCCAACACUGUCAGCUGUCACCCCUUGUCAGGUGAGUGCAGCUGUACAGCAGGAUGGGCGGGGCUCUACUGCAACGAGACCUGUCCACCUGGUUACCACGGCGACGGAUGCAGGUUGCCAUGCAGCUGUUCCCACGGGGCCGACUGUCACGGAGUCACUGGGGCCUGCGUCUGUGCCCCUGGUUACAUGGGAGAUGACUGCUCUUCUCUAUGUCCUCCGGGGCUAUACGGUCCUAGUUGCUCCUCUACCUGCUCCUGUCAUAACCAUGCCCCCUGCUCCCCCAUCGAUGGAUCCUGUAGCUGCAGAGAAGGUUGGCAGGGAGUGGACUGCUCUACUCUGUGCUCCAGUGGUAGCUGGGGUCUGGGCUGUAAUCAGAGCUGUCUGUGUGCCAACGGCGCAGCCUGUGACCCCAUGGAUGGUGUCUGUACCUGCUCCCCAGGCUGGAGAGGGGAGCACUGCCUCCUACCCUGUCCUGAUGGAAUGUACGGUCUGGAGUGUCGUGGGCAUUGUGACUGUAGUCAUGGCGAUGGCUGUGACCACGUCACCGGCUUCUGUCGCUGCCUCGCUGGAUGGACAGGUAUCCGGUGUGACAGUGUGUGUCCUCAGGGGUUGUGGGGUCCAAACUGCUCCGUCACCUGCUCCUGUCAGAAUAGAGGAUCCUGCUCACCGGAGGACGGUACCUGUGUCUGUUCCCCGGGUUACAGAGGGACCUCCUGCAAGAGAGUCUGUUCUCCUGGGUUCUAUGGGCACCGCUGUAGCCAGUCAUGUCCACAGUGUGUCCACAGCUCUGGAUCGUGCCAUCAUGUGACUGGUCACUGUGACUGUCUGUCCGGCUUCUAUGGCUCCCUGUGCAACCAAGUGUGUUUCAGUGGCAGUUACGGUAAGGGCUGUUCUGAGAUCUGUUUGUGCACCAACAACGGGACCUGUAACCCCAUCGAUGGAUCCUGUCAGUGUUUCCCUGGUUGGAUAGGAGAAGACUGCUCUCACAGUACAUGCCACUGUAGUUAUUGGGGUCAGAUUUGUCUCCACUUUUGUGGAUUGAGCGUGGAACCCCUCGACAACAUUCUGCUUAAAAGGCAGCGUUGUCCAUUAGGGUUCUAUGGUAGAGACUGUACUGAGGUGUGUCGCUGUCAGAAUGGCGGAAACUGUGAUCACAUGACAGGACAGUGUGCCUGUCUCACCGGCUUCAUUGGGACCAGCUGUGAACAGAAGUGUCCCCCUGGUACGUUUGGUUACGGCUGCCAGCAGCUGUGUGACUGUAUGAACAACGCCACCUGUGACUAUGUGACUGGAACCUGUUACUGCAGCAUCGGAUACAAAGGCAUCCGCUGUGACCAAGCUGCUCUGAUGAUGGAGGAGUUGAACCCUUACACUAAGAUCAGUCCAGCGCGGGGAGGUUCAGAGCACCAGUCAGCUGGGGCUGUGAUGGGCAUCAUCUUCCUCCUCCUCCUCAUCAUGAUGGCUAUGCUCAGCCUGUUUGUCUGGUUCCGACAGAGACAGAAGGACAAGGGACACCACAUGCAGCCUAGUGUGGCAUAUACACCUGGCCUGAGGAUAACAAACACCGACUAUUCUGGUGAUGGAGAGCCUACUGCAACCUCAACCACCUGGGUAUGUCUCCUCCUCUCCUCUCUCCUCCUAUCUCCUCCUAACCCCUCACUCCUCCUCUCUCCUCCUCUCCUCUCUCCUCUCUCUCUAACCCUACUGCAACCUCAACCACCUGGGUAUGUCUCCCCCUCUCUCCUCCUCUCCCCUUUCUCCUCCUCUCUCCUCCUCUCCUCUCCUCUCUCUCCAACCCUACUGCAACCUCAACCACCUGGGUAUCCAACUGUUAGUGUUCUACAGGGACUUAAUGGAAUGGCCACUGGUUUCUCCCAGAAUCCCUAUGACCUUCCCCGGAGCAGCCACCUACCCAGCGGCCUCAACCUCAUCCCCCGCCACUACGACAUCCUGCCCAUGAGCCACAGCCCCACAGACACCCCACCCCCUCCCCCAGAGAGCCCCAGCUCCCUGCUCUAG
ensembl:lncRNA